rnacentral:rRNA from 1 species
AUACGGAGGAUGCAAGCGUUAUCCGGAUUUAUUGGGUUUAAAGGGUGCGCAGGCGGCCGUGCAAGUCAGCGGUGAAAGCCCGGGGCUCAACCCCGGAAGUGCCGUUGAUACUGCAUGGCUGGAAUGCGGUCGAGGCGGGCGGAACGUGGCGUGUAGCGGGGAAAUGCGUAGAUAUGCCACAGAACGCCGAUAGCGGAGGCAGCGCGCCAGGCCUGCAUUGACGCUCGGGCACGAAAGCGUGGGGAACGAACAGGAUUAGAUACCCUGGUAGUCCACGCCGUAAACGAUGGGCGCUCGUCGUCGGCGGCAGACAGUCGGCGGCCAAGCGAAAGCGAUAAGCGCCCCACCUGGGGAGUACGGUCGCAAGGCUGAAACUCAAAUGAAUUGACGGGG